rnacentral:rRNA from 1 species
CUGGCGGCGUGCCUAAUACAUGCAAGUCGAACGGUCUUUCUAUGGAAGUUUGCUUCCACUGAGAAGAUAGUGGCGAACGGGUGAGUAACACGUGGGUAACCUGCCCAUAAGAGGGGGAUAAUAUCCGGAAACGGGUGCUAAUACCGCAUAGUUUUCUUGAUCGCAUGAUCGGGAAAGGAAAGACGGCCUUUGUGCUGUCGCUUAUGGAUGGACCCGCGGCGUAUUAGUUAGUUGGUGAGGUAAUGGCUCACCAAGACGAUGAUACGUAGCCGACCUGAGAGGGUGAUCGGCCACAUUGGGACUGAGACACGGCCCAAACUCCUACGGGAGGCAGCAGUAGGGAAUCUUCCGCAAUGGACGAAAGUCUGACGGAGCAACGCCGCGUGAGUGAAAGAAGGUUUUCGGAUCGUAAAACUCUGUUGUCAGAGAAGAACAAGUUGGAGAGUAACUGCUCCAGCCUUGACGGUAUCUGACCAGAAAGCCACGGCUAACUACGUGCCAGCCGCCGC